GUGCUCACAUCGGCAGCACAUACACUAAAAUUGGAAUGAGACAGGGAAGAUUAAUUAGCAUGGCCCCUGCACAACGAUGACUCGCAAAUUCAUGAAGCAUUUCAUAUUUUU